GGAAGUGUAGCCUAACUGGUAAAGCGUUUGCCUAGUACGAACAAUGUACAUGGUUCGAUUCCCCGCAUCUCCU